UGGGGAAUAUUGCACAAUGGGCGCAAGCCUGAUGCAGCCAUGCCGCGUGUGUGAAGAAGGCCUUCGGGUUGUAAAGCACUUUCAGCGAGGAGGAAGGUGGUGAACUUAAUACGUUCAUCAAUUGACGUUACUCGCAGAAGAAGCACCGGCUAACUCCGUGCCAGCAGCCGCGGUAAUACGGAGGGUGCAAGCGUUAAUCGGAAUUACUGGGCGUAAAGCGCACGCAGGCGGUUUGUUAAGUCAGAUGUGAAAUCCCCGGGCUCAACCUGGGAACUGCAUUUGAAACUGGCAAGCUAGAGUCUCGUAGAGGGGGGUAGAAUUCCAGGUGGUAGCGGUGAAAUGCGUAGAGAUCUGGAGGAAUACCGGUGGCGAAGGCGGCCCCCUGGACGAAGACUGACGCUCAGGUGCGAAAGCGUGGGGAGCAAACAGGAUUAGGAUACCCUGGUAGUCCACGCUGUAAACGAUGUCGAUUUUGGAGGUUGUGCCCUUGAGGCGUGGCUUCCGGAGCUAACGCGUUAAAUCGACCGCCUGGGGAGUACGGCCGCAAGGUU
rnacentral:rRNA from 1 species